rnacentral:rRNA from 1 species
UACGGAGGGUGCAAGCGUUAUCCGGAUUUACUGGGUUUAAAGGGUGCGUAGGCGGGUUAUUAAGUCAGUGGUGAAAGCCUUCAGCUCAACUGAAGAAUUGCCAUUGAUACUGAUGAUCUUGAGUAUGAUUGAGGUGGGCGGAAUGUGUCAUGUAGCGGUGAAAUGCUUAGAUAUGACACAGAACACCGAUUGCGAAGGCAGCUCACUAAGUCAUAACUGACGCUGAUGCACGAAAGCGUGGGGAGCAAACAGG